UUUUCCUACGGGGGGCAGCAGUGAGGAAUAUUGGUCAAUGGGCGAGAGCCUGAACCAGCCAAGUCGCGUGAAGGAUGAAGGAUCUAUGGUUUGUAAACUUCUUUUAUAUGGGAAUAAAGUGAGGAACGUGUUCCUUUUUGUAUGUACCAUAUGAAUAAGCAUCGGCUAACUCCGUGCCAGCAGCCGCGGUAAUACGGAGGAUGCGAGCGUUAUCCGGAUUUAUUGGGUUUAAAGGGUGCGCAGGCGGAUUUUUAAGUCAGCGGUCAAAUCGUGGGGCUCAACCCCAUCCAGCCGUUGAAACUGGG
rnacentral:rRNA from 1 species